rnacentral:rRNA from 1 species
UACGUAGGGCGCAAGCGUUGUCCGGAAUUAUUGGGCGUAAAGAGCUCGUAGGCGGUCUGUUGCGUCUGCUGUGAAAACCCGGGGCUUAACCCCUGGCUUGCAGUGGAUACGGACAGACUAGAGGUAGGUAGGGGAGAAUGGAAUUCCGGUGUAGCGGUGAAAUGCGCAGAUAUCGGGAGGAACACCGGUGGCGAAGGCGGCGUUCUGGACUGUUUCUGACACUGAAAAACGAAAGACCGAGGGGAGGCAAACGGG